CCUACGGGGGGCAGCAGUGGGGAAUCUUGCGCAAUGGGCGAAAGCCUGACGCAGCAACGCCGCGUGGGGGAAGAAGGCCUUCGGGUUGUAAACCUCUUUCAGUAGGGACGAAGCUUCCGGGGUUAAUAGCCUACGGGGUGACGGUACCUACAGAAGAAGCCCCGGCUAACUACGUGCCAGCAGCCGCGGUAAUACGUAGGGGGCAAGCGUUGUCCGGAAUCAUUGGGCGUAAAGCGCGUGUAGGCGGCUUGGUAAGUCUGGCGUGAAAUCUUGGGGCUCAACCCCAAGCCUGCGCUGGAUACUGCCUCGCUAGAGUCCGGGAGAGGAAAGCGGAAUUCCCAGUGUAGCGGUGAAAUGCGCAGAUAUUGGGAAGAACACCGGUGGCGAAGGCGGCUUUCUGGAACGGUACUGACGCUGAGACGCGAAAGCGUGGGGAGCAAACAGGAUUAGAUACCCCUGUAGUC
rnacentral:rRNA from 1 species